rnacentral:lncRNA from 1 species
CCACACUAAUUAAAUAUAUCUAACCAUCAGAACAAACGUUUCCAUUACAUUACCCAAAACUAUAGAUGAGGGUAUAUCAUGUAUGAUCAAUCCAUACAUAUAUCAAGGACUUGGACUAACAACAAAAAGAAUUACUGUUAACAUUGUUUAUAUCAUGCACACCCAAACCAAUCCCAAUCAACCAUACUGUAUAUGCAUAGAAGAUAUCAAUAUUAAAGUACUUAUUAGUUUAGCAAAAAUCAUUUUUCUUUUAUAAACAUAAAAUCUACUCACUCGUUUGGUGUGCAGGUUAUGUUCCUUCUUCUUCAUCUAUCUUUUUUUUUUCUUUCUUUUUAAUGGUCUGCAACUCCUCGCACAAUUGCCCACAACACCAUAGUUUUUUCUUCUUUCAGUUCUCUGCACCUUCUUCUUCUACUACUACUACUACAAGUUUCUGCAAACUUUCCUUCCUCUACUCUGAUCGCCGCCAAUUUUUUUUCUCUUCUUCGCAAACUUCUCUUUUCAAUUCAAUUUCUAAUAAUAUGCGAACAAAGCCCUUGCUUCAAUCUCUAUAUAGAGUGAUUAAGUCGGUUUAUGUAACGGUUCACAAUGAAUCCACAUCUGAUCGUGUUUCCUCAGCGAAUGAGCCUGUGGCUCAAUGGUAGCACCCCUCUC